rnacentral:rRNA from 1 species
AACGAACGCUGGCGGCAGGCCUAACACAUGCAAGUCGAACGCUCCGCAAGGGGAGUGGCGCACGGGUGAGUAACACGUGGGAACCUACCUUCUGGUACGGAACAACCAAGGGAAACUUUGGCUAAGACCGUAUACGACCUCCGGGUGAAAGAUUGAUCGCCGGAAGAGGGGCCCGCGUCCGAUUAGGUAGUUGGUGAGGUAACGGCUCACCAAGCCUUCGAUCGGUAGCUGGUCUGAGAGGAUGACCAGCCACACUGGGACUGAGACACGGCCCAGACUCCUACGGGAGGCAGCAGUGGGGAAUAUUGGACAAUGGGCGCAAGCCUGAUCCAGCCAUGCCGCGUGAGGGAUGACGGCC